rnacentral:rRNA from 1 species
UACGGAGGGGGCUAGCGUUGUUCGGAAUUAUUGGGCGUAAAGGGCGCGUAGGCGGCUUUGCAAGUGACGGGUGAAAGCCCUCGGCUUAACCGAGGAACUGCCUGUCAGACUGUAAGGCUUGAGACCGGGAGAGGUGAGUGGAAUUCCCAGUGUAGCGGUGAAAUGCGUAGAUAUUGGGAGGAACACCAGUGGCGAAGGCGGCUCACUGGACCGGAACUGACGCUGAGGCGCGAAAGCGUGGGGAGCAAACAGG